rnacentral:rRNA from 1 species
UGGGGAAUAUUGCGCAAUGGGGGAAACCCUGACGCAGCGACGCCGCGUGGAGGAUGAAGGCCUUCGGGUUGUAAACUCCUUUCGGAGGGGACGAAGAAAGGUUCGCCUUUUUGACGGUACCCUCAGAAGAAGCACCGGCUAACUCCGUGCCAGCAGCCGCGGUAAUACGGGGGGUGCUAGCGUUGUUCGGAAUUACUGGGCGUAAAGCGUAUGUAGGCGGUUUGUUAAGCGGAAUGUGAAAUCCUCAGGCUCAACCUGAGAACUGCAUUCGGAACUGGCAGACUUGAGUACGGAAGAGGGAGACAGAAUUCCAGGUGGAGGGGUGAAAUCCGUAGAGAUCUGGAAGAAUACCGGUGGCGAAGGCGGUCUCCUGGUACGUUACUGACGCUGAGAUACGAAAGCGUGGGGAGCAAACA